GAGGAGUCAUCGUGGAGAAAAAAGGAAAUACUGUGAGAUCAGUCUAUGCCUAAAGCCACAGUGACCGUUUGGAGACCUCCCUGGGGUGUGCUUAGGAUGAAAGAGGGGCGGUGAUGUGGGGUCCCCUCAGUGGCAUUAUGUGGUCUGAGGGCUGAAUGCAAAACACAAGGAGUUCUUUCAUCGUCUCCGAAGCAGCCCAACUGCGGAAUAACUCCAGUUCGCAACUGAAUGGUCCUGUGGCAUUUACGAAACAUUUUUACAUCCGUGGUUCCAUUUGGCCCCAAGAACCAGCCCUGGAAGUAGGCACAGCAGAUUACUACGUCUCCUUCAUGGAUGAGGAAGCUGAGGCUCCGAGACAUUCAGUUAUUUUCCGCAGGACCUGUGGUUUAUAAACCGGAAAACUUGGGCUUUUGAUCCCAGGGCCUGUGCUUUUCCAUUGACUCUAACUCCACCCCCUUCCUGAAAUGGCUGGUGUGCAAAAUGAUUUUAUUUAUCACACAGUCUUCUUAUCUAACAUGUUGCCCAAGGCAUUUUGAAGACACCUUAGAUCUUUUAGUUAAUUAGUUCCAGAUUUCUCCCCGCUAAUUAGGGGAAAUGAUUCAUUUGAAUGAAAGAAGGCUUUUUGGCCACAGUAAGAAUGAAUUUUUUGAAUGAGAAGCCACAUUUAGAGCUGUUCAACUCUUGAAGAAAAGAAUGAAUGAAUUUAAUCUUACCAUAAAAUAAACAACAGCUUAAGCUGAACUCAGCAGCAGGAAAGGACGUAAUAGUUGUGCAAAUUAAUGUGUGACUGUUUGACUCUUUAGCAUGGGACUGUCUUGAUGCACAGAUUAACUUUGGUUAUAUAAUUCCUUAAAAUAAGCCAACAAAAAUUCCACUCCCUUUGAAUCUGGGGAAAAAUAAAAACAAAAUAGCUACCCUCACCAUGUAUUCACUUUUUCAAAGGACUCAGUUCUUUGCUUUAAGGAGAGAGAAAACACUGGGGAUCCUUAAAAGUCAGUGAAAUGAAUGCUUUUGUAGAUUUGUGUCCACUUUCUGCCCUCUGUCAGGGUUGGGCUUUUUUUAGGGGCUUCUUUUUUUUGUUUAAGAUUUUAUUUAUUUAUUUGGCAGAGAGAGAGCGCGCGCGCACAAGCAGGGGGAGGGGCAGGCCGAGGGAGAAGCAGGCUCCUCACUGGGCCAGGAGCCCGAUGUGGGGCUUCAUCCCAGGACCCCAGAACCAUGACCUGAGCCGAAGGCAGACGCUUGACAGACUGAGCCACCCAGGCGCCCCGCCUUAGGGGUUUCUGAAAUCACCUGGAAUCUUGCUCUGUACCCUGCUAUCCCACCAGGAGAACCUCCAGGACAGCUCCAACGUGAACAUAAUGACAGGCUUGUAGAGGACCGCCGUCCCUGACUAAUUACAGAUAUGACUAGCCAUGCCAACCAUUUAGAUGCCCAUAUCCGUGUGGACUAUUGAUUAACAUGAAGGAGACAAGAACAGAAGAGUAUUGUAGAAAAGGAAAGAUGCCUUUGUUUUUGGACAUUAUGACCUCAAGAUGGAGAAACUAAAGCUCGGAGAGAUUAAGUACACUGCUCAAUGUCACACAGCUUGCAAAAUGCGUUCGCUGAAUCUCCAGACUCCUGCCUCCAUACGGAACAUGAAUAAGACAUUUCAGUAGCUAACAGGAAAUGACAUGGUCUUAUUUCUUAACUCAGGCGAGAGACCCAGCGAGCAAAGCAUCCCCAGAUGGGAACCAAAACUACCCCCUGAAGCAAUAAGGACCACCUGAGCCAGCAAGACCCCACAUGACUGACCCCAAGACAAGGAUCAGUGUGACCUUCAUGGCCCCCCUGCGUGUACCCACCCACCUUUGUCCCCCUGGAAGUAUUUUCAGCAAUUUGGAGACCGUCUGAGACACUAGUCGGCUGUCUUCCUGCUGUCGGCCUCACGGAAAUAAUUCCUUUCUUGUUUCACUACCACUCAUUUCUCUGCCUUUGGAUGUUGUCAGCGACAAGUGGCCGAACCUGGUCUGUGUGGGAUCCCCAGAGCCAGAACCCCGCAGUUUCAAAACAACUUUUGCAUGCAUUACGUCGCGUAAUCCUUACAACGACCCUGGGACGAAGGCGAGGUGAGGACUGCGCUCUACCUUUCUUAGAGAUGAGGAAACAGAGGCCCAGCCUCGGCGGCAGAGUUGGACCUAAGACCCCCCAAGUCUCCCUGUUCCUAGUCUUGGUCCAAAGACUUUCUUUCUGGGAUCCUCGAUGGAAGAAGCUAGAACCUAUUCUA